AAAUUGAAGAGUUUGAUCAUGGCUCAGAUUGAACGCUGGCGGCAGGCCUAACACAUGCAAGUCGAGCGGUAACACAGAGAGCUUGCUCUCGGGUGACGAGCGGCGGACGGGUGAGUAAUGUCUGGGAAACUGCCUGAUGGAGGGGGAUAACUACUGGAAACGG
rnacentral:rRNA from 1 species